UAUUUACUCCCUCCGUCCCAAAUUUUUUUGUUUUAGAUUUGUGUAGAUAUGAAUGUAUCUAGUCAUGUUUUAGUAUUUAGAUACAUUCAUUUCUAGACAAACUUAAGACAAGAAUUUUAGGACGGAGGGAGUAUUAG
rnacentral:pre_miRNA from 1 species